UACGGGGGUGGCAAGCGUUGUUCGGAAUUACUGGGCGUAAAGGGCGCGUAGGCGGCCGGACCAGUCGCAGGUGAAAGCCGCGGGCUCAACCCGCGAAGGGCCUGCGAAACAGUUCGGCUUGAGGAUCGGAGGGGAAGGCGGAAUUCCGGGUGUAGCGGUGAAAUGCGUAGAUAUCCGGAGGAACACCGGUGGCGAAGGCGGCCUUCUGGACGAUCCCUGACGCUGAGGCGCGAAAGCCAGGGGAGCAAACGGG
rnacentral:rRNA from 1 species